rnacentral:rRNA from 1 species
GGCAGAGGCCUCAAGCGUUAGGCGGAAUCACUGGGGCUUAAAAGCGUGUGUAGGCGGAUCGUUAAGUGCCUUGUGAAAUCCCGACCGGGCUUAACUGUGGAACGGCUGGGCAUACUGGCGGUCUUGAGGCCAUCUAGGGGCGAACUGGAACAAACGGUGGAGCGGUGAAAUGCGUAGAUAUCGUUGGAACGCCAAUGGUGAAAACAGGUCGCUGGGGGAUGAGCUGACGCUGAGACACGAAAGCCAGGGGAGGCAAACGGG